rnacentral:rRNA from 1 species
CUGGCGGCAGGCCUAACACAUGCAAGUCGAGCGGUAGAGAGGUGCUUGCACCUCUUGAGAGCGGCGGACGGGUGAGUAAUGCCUAGGAAUCUGCCUGGUAGUGGGGGAUAACGCUCGGAAACGGACGCUAAUACCGCAUACGUCCUACGGGAGAAAGCAGGGGACCUUCGGGCCUUGCGCUAUCAGAUGAGCCUAGGUCGGAUUAGCUAGUUGGUGAGGUAAUGGCUCACCAAGGCGACGAUCCGUAACUGGUCUGAGAGGAUGAUCAGUCACACUGGAACUGAGACACGGUCCAGACUCCUACGGGAGGCAGCAGUGGGGAAUAUUGGACAAUGGGCGAAAGCCUGAUCCAGCCAUGCCGCGUGUGUGAAGAAGGUCUUCGGAUUGUAAAGCACUUUAAGUUGGGAGGAAGGGCAUUAACCUAAUACGUUAGUGUUUUGACGUUACCGACAGAAUAAGCACCGGCUAACUCUGUGCCAGCAGCCGCGGUAAUACAGAGGGUGCAAGCGUUAAUCGGAAUUACUGGGCGUAAAGCGCGCGUAGGUGGUUCGUUAAGUUGGAUGUGAAAUCCCCGGGCUCAACCUGGGAACUGCAUUCAAAACUGUCGAGCUAGAGUAUGGUAGAGGGUGGUGGAAUUUCCUGUGUAGCGGUGAAAUGCGUAGAUAUAGGAAGGAACACCAGUGGCGAAGGCGACCACCUGGACUGAUACUGACACUGAGGUGCGAAAGCGUGGGGAGCAAACAGGAUUAGAUACCCUGGUAGUCCACGCCGUAAACGAUGUCAACUAGCCGUUGGGAGCCUUGAGCUCUUAGUGGCGCAGCUAACGCAUUAAGUUGACCGCCUGGGGAGUACGGCCGCAAGGUUAAAACUCAAAUGAAUUGACGGGGGCCCGCACAAGCGGUGGAGCAUGUGGUUUAA